rnacentral:misc_RNA from 1 species
GUGAAUCAUCGAAUCUUUGAACGCAAAUUGCACUCUCUUCGGAGAGUAUGCCUGUUUGAGGGUCAGCCUAAAAAGAAUCGACAUAGUCGCUGUUUCGCGGUGUCCUUCGUCGGAAAGUGUGUCAUCUUAAACCUUUUCGUUUUAAGCGACUUAAAAUUUCCUUUACGAUUCCACGAACGUUUCUAAGAUUUACUUACCCGUAUACUAUAGCUAUCUUUAUUAUCCGG